AGAUUGGAAUGAGCUAAAUCACAAGAACUUUAUAUGAGUGACAUGCAAAUGGUUGGCACCUAAUGUAACUUA
rnacentral:lncRNA from 1 species